GCCUCCUUAGCUUAGUUGGUAGAGCAUGAGACUCUUAAUCUCAGGGUCAUGGGUUCAAUCCCCAUGUUGGGCA